GACGAACGCUGGCGGCGUGCCUAAUACAUGCAAGUAGAACGCUGAAGGAGGAGCUUGCUUCUCUGGAUGAGUUGCGAACGGGUGAGUAACGCGUAGGUAACCUGCCUGGUAGCGGGGGAUAACUAUUGGAAACGAUAGCUAAUACCGCAUAAUACUGACUAUUGCAUGAUAGUCAGUUGAAAGGUGCAACUGCACCACUACCAGAUGGACCUGCGUUGUAUUAGCUAGUUGGUGGGGUAACGGCUCACCAAGGCGACGAUACAUAGCCGACCUGAGAGGGUGAUCGGCCACACUGGGACUGAGACACGGCCCAGACUCCUACGGGAGGCAGCAGUAGGGAAUCUUCGGCAAUGGACGGAAGUCUGACCGAGCAACGCCGCGUGAGUGAAGAAGGUUUUCGGAUCGUAAAGCUCUGUUGUAAGAGAAGAACGAGUGUGAGAGUGGAAAGCUCACACUGUGACGGUAUCUUACCAGAAAGGGACGGCUAACUACGUG
rnacentral:rRNA from 1 species